AGUGAACGCUGGCGGUAGGCCUAACACACGCAAGUCGAACGGCAGCACAGGAGAGCUUGCUCUCUGGGUGGCGAGUGGCGGACGGGUGAGGAAUACAUCGGAAUCUACUCUGUCGUGGGGGAUAACGUAGGGAAGCUUACGCUAAUACCGCAUACGACCUACGGGUGAAAGCAGGGGACCUUCGGGCCUUGCGCGAUUGAAUGAGCCGAUGUCGGAUUAGCUAGUUGGCGGGGUAAAGGCCAAACAAGGGCACGAUCCGUAGCUGGGCUGAGAGGAUGAGCCGCACCACUGGAACUUAUACACGGUCCCGACUCCUACGGGAGGCAGCAGUGGGGAAUAUUGGACAAUGGGCGCAAGCCUGAUCCAGCCAUACCGCGUGGGUGAAGAAGGCCUGCGGGUUGUAAAGCCCUUUUGUUGGGAAAGAAAUCCAGCUGGCUAAUACCCGGUUGGGAUGACGGUACCCAAAGAAUAAGCACCGGCUAACUUCGUGCCAGCCGCCGCGGUAA
rnacentral:rRNA from 1 species